AACUUUACAAUGCGGGAAACCGUGAUAAGGGAACUCCGAGUGUCCGUAAAUGCGGACUGUCCGUAUGUUUAAAAAGCAUGCGAAGAAAGGGCCGGGCAAGACCGGGCCAGCCGCCGCGGUAAUACCGGCGGCUCGAGUGGUGGCCACUAUUACUGGGCUUAAAGCGUUCGUAGCUGGGUUGUUAAGUCUCUUGGGAAAUCUACCGGCUUAACCGAUAGGCGUCCAAGGGAUACUGGCAAUCUAGGGACCGGGAGAGGUGAGGGGUACUUCAGGGGUAGGAGUGAAAUCCUGUAAUCCUUGGGGGACCACCUGUGGCGUAGGCGCCUCACCAGAACGGCUCCGACAGUGAGGGACGAAAGCUGGGGGAGCAAACCGGAUUAGAUACCCGGGUAGUCCCAGCCGUAAACGAUGCGCGUUAGGUGUAUCGAUGACCACGAGUCAUCGAGGUGCCGAAGGGAGACCGUGAAACGCGCCGCCUGGGAAGUACGGUCGCAAGGCUGAAACUUAA
rnacentral:rRNA from 1 species